GCCCGCUCAGAAACUCGAAAGGAAGUUGACGGGGCCCGCACAAGCGGUGGAGUAUGUGGUUUAAUUCGAUGCAACGCGAAGAACCUUACCUGGUCUUGACAUCCCGGAGACCCUUAGGAAACUAGGGGGUGCUUCCAUCUGGAAGAAUCUGGAGACAGGUGCUGCAUGGCUGUCGUCAGCUCGUGUCGUGAGAUGUUGGGUUAAGUCCCGCAACGAGCGCAACCCUUGCCUUUAGUUGCCAGCAGUUCGGCUGGGCACUCUAAAGGGACUGCCGGUGUUAAACCGGAGGAAGGUGGGGAUGACGUCAAGUCCUCAUGGCCUUUAUGACCAGGGCUACACACGUACUACAAUGGCCGAUACAAAGGGCAGCGACACUGCGAGGUGAAGCCAAUCCCGUAAAAUCGGUCUCAGUCCGGAUUGGAGUCUGCAACUCGACUCCAUGAAGUUGGAAUCGCUAGUAAUCGUGGAUCAGCAUGCCACGGUGAAUACGUUCCCGGGCCUU
rnacentral:rRNA from 1 species